UGGUGUAGGGUCUUUCUGAUGUACUGCUGGAUCCGAUUUUUUGCUAAGAUUUAGUUGAGGAUUUUGGUAUCUAUUUUCAGGAGGGAUAUUGGCCUGUAAUUCUCUUUCUUUUAUGUGACUUUGGAAUUAGG